rnacentral:rRNA from 1 species
UACAGAGGUCUCAAGCGUUGUUCGGAUUCAUUGGGCGUAAAGGGUGCGUAGGCGGCGCGGUAAGUCGGGUGUGAAAUCUCGGAGCUUAACUCCGAAACUGCAUUCGAUACUGCCGUGCUUGAGGACUGGAGAGGAGACUGGAAUUUACGGUGUAGCGGUGAAAUUCGUAGAUAUCAAGCGGAACACCGGUGGCGAAGGCGGCCUUCUGGACGAUGACUGACGCUGAGACGCGAAAGCGUGGGGAGCAAACAGG